AGAAAGUUGAUUCUCAAAGAGAUACAGAAUUCUUAAACUAGUUAAUCCACUCAACGAAGUAGGAAUUUGACCUGUGAGAUUAUUCAUGCUCAAUUCUAGGUCCUGAAGUGAUGUCAGCUUUCCCAACUCGGGAGGGAUGGGACCAGAAGGUUGAUUCUCAUAGAGAUACAGAAUUCUUAAACUAGUUAAUCCACUCAACGAAGUAGGAAUUUGACCUAUGAGAUCAUUAGUGCCCAAUCUUAGCUCCUGGAGUGAUGUCAACUUUCCCAACUCGGGAAGGAUGGGACCAGAAAGUUGAUUAGUAUUGAGAUACAGAGUUCUUAAACUAGUUAAUCCAUUCAACGAAGUAGGAAUUUGACCUGUGAGAUCAUUAGUGCCCAAUCCUAGCUCCUGGAGUGAUGCCAACUUUCUCAACUUGGCAGGGAUGGGACCAAAAAGUUGAUUCUCAAAGAGAUACAGAAUUCUUAAACUAGUUAAUCCACUCAACGAAGUAGGAAUUUGACCUGUGAGAUUAUUCAUGCUCAAUUCUAGGUCCUGAAGUGAUGUCAACUUUCCCAACUUGGGAGGGAUGGGACCAGAAAGUUGAUUCUCAUAGAGAUACAGAGUUCUUAAACUAGUUAAUCCACUCAACGAAGUAGGAAUUUGACCUGUGAGAUCAUUCGUGCUCAAUAUUAGGUCCCGGAGUGAUGUCAACUUUCCCAACUCGAGAGGGAUGGGACCAGAAAGUUGAUUUUCAUAGAGAUACAGAGUUCUUAAACUAGUUAAUCCACUCAACGAAGUAGGAAUUUGACGUGUGAGAUCAUUCGUGCUCAAUAUUAGGUCCUGGAGUGAUGUCAACUUUCCCAACUCGGGAGGGAUGGGACCAGAAAGUUGAUUAGUAUCGAGAUACAGAGUUCUUAAACUAGUUAAUCCACUCAACGAAGUAGGAAUUUGACCUGUGAGAUCAUUCGCGCUCAAUUCUAGGUCAUGGAGUGAUGUCAACUUUCCCAACUCGGGAGGGAUGGGACUAGAAAGUUGAUUAGUAUGGAUAUACAGAGUUCUUAAACUAGUUAAUCCACUCAAUGAAGUAGGAAUUUGACCUGUGAGAUCAUUCGUGCUCAAUUCUAGGACCUGGAGUGAUGUCAACUUUCCCAACUCGGGAGGGAUGGGACUAGAAAGUUUAUUAGUAUUUGAUACAGAGUUCUUAAACUAGUUAAUCCACUCAACGAAGUAGGAAUUUGACCUGUGAGAUCAUUCGCGCUCAAUUCUAGGUCAUGGAGUGAUGUCAACUUUCCCAACUCGGGAGGGAUGGGACUAGAAAGUUGAUUAGUAUGGAUAUACAGAGUUCUUAAACUAGUUAAUCUACUCAAUGAAGUAGGAAUUUGACUUGUGAGAUCAUUCGUGCUCAAUUCUAGGUCCUGAAGUGAUGUCAACUUUCCCAACUCGGGAGGGAUGGGACCAGAAAGUUUAUUAGUAUGGAGAUACAGAGUUCUUAAACCAGUUAAUCCACUCAAUGAAGUAGGAGUUUGACCUGUAAGAUUAUUCGUGAGGUUCUGGAGUGAUGUCAACUUUCCCAACUCAGGAGGGAUGGGACCAGAAAGUUGAUUAGUAUCGAGAUACAGAGUUCUUAAACUAGUUAAUGCACUCAAUGAAGUAGGAGUUUGAUCCACUCAAUGAAGUAGGAGUUUGACCUGUAAGAUUAUUCGUGAGGUUCUGGAGUGAUGUCAACUUUCCCAACUCGGGAGGGAUGGGACCAAAAAGUUGAUUAGUAUCGAGAUACAGAGUUCUUAAACUAGUUAAUCCACUCAAUGAAGUAGGAAUUUGACCUGUGAGAUUAUUCGUGCUCAAUUCUAGGUUCUGGAGUGAUGUCAGCUUUCCCAACUCGGGAGGGAUGGGACCAGAAAGCUGAUUAGUAUGGAGAUACAGAGUUCUUAAACUAGUUAAUCCACUCAAUGAAGUAGGAAUUUGACCUGUGAGAUCAUUCGUGCUCAAUUUUAGGUCCUGGAGUGAUGUCAACUUUCCCAACUCAGGAGAGAUGAGACCAAAAAGUUGAUUAGUAUGGAGAUACAGAGUUCUUAAACUAGUUAAUCC
rnacentral:lncRNA from 1 species